rnacentral:lncRNA from 1 species
GAAGGCUUGCAACUUCCAGAGGAAGACUUGGGCAGCAAAUUGCAGUUAAUUUCCAUCAGUUUCAGCUCUUAGCUCAGAAGAGGCUACCCAUCCCCCCACCAUCUAGCCCAAUGGCAGGUAGCUGUGCACAUAUUCCUGGAGUAGCUUGCAGGAACCAGGAUAAGGAAACUGAGGAUCAGAGGCAUUAAGCAAUUUUUAAGGCCAUACAGCCAGCUGGGAUUUGAAGCAAGUCUGCCAGAUUCACAGAAAGGUCCACAGAGUGGCUCAGAAGAAGUGGGGAGGAGAUGGCUGGAAGGUGAUCAGGAGUGGAGGUCCUAUGCUUCCUGGAUACAUGGCAGUCAGCCUUUGAUCUUGGUGCCUCUGGUUAGCUGCAUGCUCAAUACUUCCAAGUCUCCUUUCUCUGUCACAGCUGCUCUGCGACCAGUGAAGGGCACCACAACUCCCACCCAUAGCCUUAAAGAUUUCUUCCUGAGACCUCAGGAAGAAUUUCUGUCAUCUUCACCCUCAAGAAGGAGCAUCAGCUUGUACGUCAUCCUGGAGACGCUGGAAAAGUCUUAAAUGUUUCCAUGCAGUGAGUGUCCCAACAGAUGAUUGACCAAACAACAAAAAACAAAGAAGAGGAUGAAACCAUGCUGAUCACCACUCAAAUGAAAUUCAGAUAUCUGCAAACAAAACCUCUCUUCAAAGAGAAUCAACAACUAUGGUGAAAAUAUGAAUACUGCUUGAUAUCUUUCUUGAAGCUUCAGCUAGGAGAGAAGCUCAAGGAUGGUUGAAAAAAAAUUUUAACUUUCCAUACUCCUAGAAGACCAAUUGUUCUAUAGCAAGGAUAACAAGUAGCCACCAGAAUCAGCAUCUUGGAUACUCACCC